rnacentral:rRNA from 1 species
ACGCGUGGAACCUUACCAGGUCUUGACAUCUGAAUGACCGGUGCAGAGAUGUACCUUUCCUUCGGGACAUUCAAGACAGGUGGUGCAUGGUUGUCGUCAGCUCGUGUCGUGAGAUGUUGGGUUAAGUCCCGCAACGAGCGCAACCCUUGAUCUUAGUUGCCAGCAGGUUAAGCUGGGCACUCUAAGGUGACUGCCGGUGACAAACCGGAGGAAGGUGGGGAUGACGUCAAAUCAUCAUGCCCCUUAUGACCUGGGCUACACACGUACUACAAUGGCCAGUACAACGGGAAGCGAAGCCGCGAGGUGGAGCCAAUCCUAAAAAGCUGGUCUCAGUUCGGAUUGCAGGCUGCAACUCGCCUGCAUGAAGUCGGAAUUGCUAGUAAUCGCGGAUCAGCAUGCCGCGGUGAAUACGUUCCCGGGUCUUGCACUCACCGCCCGU